rnacentral:misc_RNA from 1 species
AGUCAUAGACUAGAGCUGCCAGCAGGCCGUAGAGGAGAGACCCCAGCGGAAUGUUGGUGAUUAGAAUGUUGUGGUUAACCCCCAGGCUGUUGAUCCCGAAGAGUUCUGAUGUCACUGUCACCGCAGCUGCGAAGAUGAACCCUGAGCUCAGGCCAGCCAGCGCCGUCCCUGCCAGCAGCAUAUCCCCAUCCACAGCCCCUGCUAGUAGAAAGAAGGCCACUGGCAUGG